GUUGACCUCGGAUCAGGUAGGAAUACCCGCUGAACUUAAGCAUAUCAAUAAGCGGAGGAAAAGAAACCAACAGGGAUUGCCCCAGUAACGGCGAGUGAAGCGGCAACAGCUCAAAUUUGAAAUCUGGCCCCAGGCCCGAGUUGUAAUUUGCAGAGGAUGCUUUUGGCGCGGUGCCUUCCGAGUUCCCUGGAACGGGACGCCAUAGAGGGUGAGAGCCCCGUACGGUUGGACACCAAGCCUUUGUAAAGCUCCUUCGACGAGUCGAGUAGUUUGGGAAUGCUGCUCUAAAUGGGAGGUACAUUUCUUCUAAAGCUAAAUAUUGGCCAGAGACCGAUAGCGCACAAGUAGAGUGAUCGAAAGAUGAAAAGCACUUUGAAAAGAGGGUUAAACAGCACGUGAAAUUGUUAAAAGGGAAGCGCUUGUGACCAGACUUGCGUCCGGUGAAUCACCCAGCUCUCGCGGCUGGGGCACUUCGCCGGCACAGGCCAGCAUCAGCUUGCCGUCGGGGACAAAAGCUUCAGGAACGUGGCUCCUCUCGGGGAGUGUUAUAGCCUGUUGCAUAAUACCCUUCGGCGGGCUGAGGUACGCGCUCCGCAAGGAUGCUGCCGAAAUGGUCAUCAGCGAC
rnacentral:rRNA from 1 species